AGGAAGACCAAGCAACCGCGAUUGCUUCAGUAACGGCGAGUGAACCGGCACCAUACAUGGCUCAGCCUGAACGAGAUUCCCUCCUGCACUGCCUCGGCAGGUUGCAGUCGGCUACUGUGGGAUCCAGAGAUGCUGUGGGCUACGGAGCGGUCGGCUGUGCUGUGGCUUGGCUGUGGCACCAGGAGGCGGCCUGGAAGGGCCCACAACAGAGGGAUACUGUCCCGUACCCUGUGGAGCGUGCCACGGCCACUGCGGCGCUGCUGCCUGUAUCCUCGAGUAGAGUGGCUUGGGACUGCAGUUUGAACUGUGAUGUGUAUCCAUCACAAGGUGGAAUACCAACAUUGGGACCGACAGAGCACAAGUAGAGUGAUCGAAGGAUGCAAAGGACUUUGCAAAGAGGGUUAAAAGUCCCUGAAGCCUUGGCAGGAUCGGCGGUGAGUGGUGCCUUGGCCUUGCGGUGUGCGCCGGGUGGUCCCCCGGUCUGGCUGGACGCUGUGUCUGGCUGGCCGUCCCACCCCACCACCCCCUGAGUGCCUUGGCGUGCGUGUGGGAGAGGGCCCACACAGCGGCUCUCGCGGUGCCGUGCCUGUCCCGUCUGCGGGCGGGGCUGGGCGUGGCCUGUGAGCAGCCCCAGGCCCUUCUCUCCCACCACGGUGAGAGCCAGGGAAGAGAUCCCAAGCGGCCUUGGGCCAGCCCAGAGCUGGCCACUGAGCCCAGUCCUCAAGGAGUGGAUGCAGUCGUGGCAGUGUCCUGUGGUGGCAAACCCUGCUUGCCAGGGCCUGAGGUCCAUGAGAACCCAGAGGGCUUACACACCCGGCGCUGUUGUGCCCCAGCGCGCUCCCUGAGUUUGUGGCAAAGAGCCCCAGUGGUCCCCCGUGCGGAAGAGGCCCCCUGCGUGACCCAGGGCCAAACGGUGCUUGGCGUGCUGCUGUGGAGGGCGGGAUCCUGCUGUCCCCCGGCCCUGGAGGAUUGUGACCCGGGUGGGCUGUGCCACCCACGCGCCCUCACCGGGCUGUGCUUGGCGCUCCCCCUGGGGUGCUCUCCGAGAGUGUUGUUGUGGGUUGACGGCGGGGCCCAGCCAGCCCCAGCGUGCCUUGCGCCCAGAGGCCCGUGGGGAGCCAGAGCCAAAGGAGAGAGCAGAGAGGAGGAAGAGAGUCACCGGCCUUGCCACAGGCCUCAUCCGGAGCCGCUGGUGCUGCAGCGGCUGGUGUGUGUGGACGAGACAACGGCGUCUGUGGGAACGGAGUGUGCAACAACCAUCCCCUGUGCAGAAAACCUGGCGCGUCUACGGGCGUGCCAGUCACCGGUGCCCAGUCAUGGCUGGGUUCCCCUGGUGCGCUGGUGGGCCACCCUCCCAGGUGCCCACUGCGCUGCCUGUGGAGCCCCCGGAUGGUGCCCGGUGCAGACGCGCGCAGAGCUUGGGGUGCUGGAGGUGCCACCCUCUGCCCGUCUYGAAACACGGACCAAGGAGUCUAUGGAGCUUGCAGGUGCGCUGGUGUGAUCAUGGAAAACCACAGGAGCUGUGGUGAAAGCGAUGCUGUCCCAGACGAAGUCCCCUCUGCACGGGACACCGGCCCCUGCGUCCAGUGGACGGGGUUUUGAGUGAUUGCGAGGUCCAUGGGACCCGAAAGGUGGUGAACUAUACCGUACCACGACGAAGCCGUGGGAAACUGCGGUGGAGGUCGGCCGCUGUUCUGACGUGCAAAUUGUGUAGCCUGAGUGUGGCAUAGGGGUGAAAGGCCAAUCGAACCACCUAGUAGCUGGUUUCCCUCGAAGUUUCCCUCAGGAUAGCUGGGCUCGAGUGCAUCCCCAAGCAAGCCUGAGUGGUUACGUCCGGUAAAGCAACGCAUGAGAGGCAAUCUCCGGGGAGGCUUCCCUCCUCGACCUAUUCUCGAACUGUGAAUGGGCGUGGCAACAAAGGCAUGCUUCUUCAUCGACGCCGGAGUCAGGGUCAAACCUGUCCUCCACGGCUUCUGAGCGUGUUUGUGCCGGCUGCUGCUGCCGCCGCUCCGCAACCCCCACCGGUGGUGGCCCUGGGGUUCCCUCCCUGCACACAGAGCGCCUGGAGAAUGUUGGGCGUGGCCACAGCAGGCCACAGGCCAGUGGAGAGCCCCCUGCGGGCAGAGGCAAGUUGAGCGGCGAGGAGAAGGCGGCCUCUGGCGGGUGUGGCAACCCCCGGUGGUCAGUGCCCCUGGGCGUGGUGGUGGAGGCCACUCUGCCCUCGUCAUCCCUGGUGCUGAGUGUGAAUUCAUCGGAGAGAGCCGCUGGUCAACGGUUGAACAAGUGUGCCUAUGUGGACCAAUACUGGUAAGCAGUGCUGGUGAUGCGGGGUGCUCCGAGAGUGGACUUACAGAUCCAGAGUGCUGGCUCAUACUCAGAUCCCACAAAGGAUGUUGCCUGCUAUGGAUAGCAGGACGGUGGCCAUGAAGGUUGGAACCCGCUGAGGAAUGUGUAACAACCCACCUGCCGAAGUGCGCAGCUCCGAAAAUGGAUGGUGCCCAAGUCAGUGAAGCUGAACGUGCCUUACAGUCCGCCGCCGCUGUGGCAGCAGUGCAGAGCAUCGUUGUGUAGAAAGGACACGGGAGGCUGCCGUGCAUGCUGGGGUUGCCCCUGGCUGGAGUGCCUUCUGGCGCAGAUCUUGGUUGCAGUAGCGAGUACUCCAUCAUGUGAAGAGUGGGAAAACCCCGCUGUGUGUGGUUGAGGACUGGAGUGGAGCAGGCUUCCGCACCAACAGCUGUUGAAUGCGGGUCAGUCGACCGUGAGCCAAGUGGUAAAUCACCAAACAACCAAAGCUGCCUUGAGAAUUCCCACUCCCCCAGGAGGUGACUGGGGAAUAUGGCUGGCAGGAGUGGCAAACAGGCAAGCAGGUGCAACGUUCUGUCUAUGAUGGGCUUGGAGCGCCUCUCUGUCUGGUGGUGACGCCUCGUUACUGGGGCAAGCAGGCUUCGGGGCAGUGCACCCCCCGUGGAGUUCUCGUUUCCUCCUGAUGCAAGGCUCACGUGGGCUCUGGAUUGUUGUGACAGACGGUGAUAGCACGCCCUCCGCCCAGCAAGGCAGCGUGCUCUCCACGCUGGUGGUGUUCUCUGUGAAUCCUCCCAAUGGCACACCAAGUGUGUGAGUGGACUGGCUCUCAGCACGGUGGUCACUGGCUCCACUGAACGGCCUGUGGUGACUCUGUGUUCCUGGUCCCUGGUCUUCGUACUGAAUCACCGCAGCCGGUCUCCUCGGCUAACCGCCGCUGGUCAACGGAUUGAAUGCAGCUAAGGGAAGUCGGCAAACUAGCCAUGUACCUUUGGAAGAUGUGGUGGCUCCAGAGGCCAAGUCACCGGGCCCCACUGCGGGCGCUGUCCCUGCGGGGGUGGCUGUGCCUCGUGUGGUUGGCCCUCGGGUUUGCUGCUUGGGGCUGGCCAAGCCUGCUGACGGCGUUCUCUGCGGUGGGGGGCUUGGGGGUCCCCGUGGCCCCCUGUGCCCACCCCGGUGCCACCCAGUGGCCCACUUGGAACUGUUGCUGUGCAGGGGAAUCUGACUGUUUAAUUGAAACCCAGCUUUGUGACGGGACCAGCUGGCUGGUCCCAUGAGGUGACUUCUGCCCAGUGCUCUGAUUGUCAAGGCGAAGAGAUUCAGCCAAGCGCGGGUAAACGGCGGGAGUAACUAUGACUCUCUUAAGGUAGCCAAAUGCCUCGUCAACCAAUUAUUGACGCGCAUGAAUGGAUCAACGAGAUUCCUGCUGUCCCUAGGUGCUGUCCGGUGAACCAACAGCCAAGGGAACGGGCUUGGGCGUGUCAGCGGGGAAA
rnacentral:rRNA from 1 species